UACGUAGGGCGCAAGCGUUAUCCGGAAUUAUUGGGCGUAAAGAGCUCGUAGGCGGUUUGUCGCGUCUGCCGUGAAAGUCCGGGGCUCAACUCCGGAUCUGCGGUGGGUACGGGCAGACUAGAGUGAUGUAGGGGAGACUGGAAUUCCUGGUGUAGCGGUGAAAUGCGCAGAUAUCAGGAGGAACACCGAUGGCGAAGGCAGGUCUCUGGGCAUUAACUGACGCUGAGGAGCGAAAGCAUGGGGAGCUAACAGG
rnacentral:rRNA from 1 species